rnacentral:rRNA from 1 species
GACGUAGGGCGCGAGCGUUGUCCGGAUUUAUUGGGCGUAAAGAGCUCGUAGGCGGCUUGUCACGUCGGGUGUGAAAGACCGGGGCUUAACCCCGGUUCUGCAUUCGAUACGGGCUGGCUAGAGUGUGGUAGGGGAGAUCGGAAUUCCUGGUGUAGCGGUGAAAUGCGCAGAUAUCAGGAGGAACACCGGUGGCGAAGGCGGAUCUCUGGGCCAUUACUGACGCUGAGGAGCGAAAGCGUGGGGAGCGAACAGG